AGAGCCUUUAUCUCUUAAGAGGUCCAGAGGAAAGUCCAGGCUGCUUUGGAAGUUUAACAUUUCCAUAUUUUCACCAAAGGAAUGUAGGAAAAAAGCUGAAAUCCUCUAGACAGAAAGUAUCAUAAGUGUACACAUUUGUCUGACUGCUCCUUCUCACCAGCUGCCUUUACCUUCAACUGCAGUUCUCUGAGAAAUGCAGGAGCUAGCAAGAGGAAGUAACUGGUUCCACUGCAGAGUCCAGAUAGCUGAAACAUGUGGGCACUGAAGUCUAUUAAGAAAUGCCUCUUCUUGAACACAUCAGUCCUGAACUCAGCUCUGGGGUUUUUGCAUGGUAAAGGUACCCUACUUUCCUGCAAUUUUUUUGGGAAAAUUCAACAAAGAUUGCAGAAUUUAGGUUUCUUGGUGCAUAUACUUAUAAGGAUAGCUGAAGAAUCACAUUAAAGAUGUUAAACAUUGACUUGAGCCUGAAAAUUUCUGCAUUUGAUUCCAUUUAAGUGCAUUGCCAUGACAUUUAAUCUAUUCAAGACUUGCAUGACUUGUUUUUAUACAUGUUUGUAUGUGUGCAGUACAUACACACAUACCUGCAAAUAAAGAUAAAUGUGCUACAGCCAAAGAGGAAAAAAUAAGAAUACUCAAGUACCUAUCAAAAUGUACAGGAUAAAAUUAGUUUUCAGCAUGGCAGUGGGGUUCUGUAGGUCACUUCUACAUGUAUGUGGAACUUACCUCCAGUGCUGUUGUGCACGUACAUAAAGCCUGCAACCACUAAGGUGGGGUUUCCGUACAUAUUUGGGGGCUGUUUGUGUGAACAGAUAAGAAAUGGUCACCUGAAAGAUUGACAGCAGCAGUAUAAAAACAUGUUUUUUCAGAAAUGUCAGGAAUGUUUUGUGGUCUGAUAUUCUGGUACAUUCCAUGCUACUGAUUCAAAGAAAUGCAAACAAACAAGAACCCCAUCAUGCAGUUACUUAUCUAGGUAAAGCUAAAGGGUUUCUGACAUGCUUCCAUGGUAAUACAGUGGAAUUCAUAAGGGUUUUUUUGAAGGUAAUUGUCAAAACAGUAAAAUAAAUGUACAUACAUGUGUCUGUUGCAUCUUCUAUGGUGUAGUUUUAUGCACCAUGUGUGGGCACUUCACUAUCAUAUUGCAUGGCAGAACUACAACUUCCACGUGAACUUUUUCUCUUUUCCAUUUGGUUUUCUAUGCUAAAAAUAUUAGGACCUAGUUUAUCCUUACUGUCCUUGGCAGCUUUUGCAGAAAAUUUGCAAGAUAACAUCACUUGUACCCAAACCUUGUGAUAUACUUUUCUUAUCAUUCUCAAGGAUUGAUAAAAGGGAAUGAAGAGAUAGGUUCCCACUCAGUGAAGCCACAUGUGUUUCCCAUGCACAGAAAGUACAUCUAAGUCGGGGGCUUAGGUAGGGUAGGAAUGCAAGGUAUGUCAGCAAGCACUCCACAGCACACCAAACAGACACAAAGACAGCUUUUGUCUAAGUGAAUUUGGUUAUUAAUGCUGCUGUGCCCAUGCUUUCAUAUGCUGCUGUGUAAUCCACAGAGGGCCUGAAGCAAGUUUUGCCAUAAUUGUGCCAGUGCAAUCCAAGUCUGAUUUUUAAUGGGUUUCAUUAAAAUGUUUGCAGCAGUAUUAGUUGGAGGGUGUGAAAAAUAGUCUGUAUGAUCUUUCCAAGCAGUAAGAGGAAAGCAGAAUCCUUAUUUCUGUUUGAGAUUGUUUACAACUAAGCAUGCUACAGUCUUUCUGUUGGGUGCUACCUACAGCAUUGUGUUGAUGGAGUGCUGCUACUGGGAGACCAUAGAUCCCCAAAAUACUAAACACACAUACACUGUCUUCUGGCAGUUUUAGGCACCUGGGAAUGUUUAAGGGCAUGGACCAUAUGCGAUAGACCAUUGUUUGCACAGAGACUCGGGCACUGGUCUCUUUAGUGUUGCUAUGCUAAACUGAGUAAUUCCUCUAUUUAAUUUUUGAAUUCCUCGAUUUAAUUUUUGAAAUGUACUUACGAUUCUAUGGCAGAGACUUCAAAGUAGGGGGGAGGUUUAAAUCAGUGGGUGGUCAGAUUUCUGCUUGUUUAUCCAAUAACUUUCCAAUAGAAAAUUUAAAAUCUUCAUAGGUACAAGGAUUUCCUUCUUCCCAGAUGAACCUGGAAGAAUACCAGUUCCAAAUUUUUCCUUUGUCAUUUUUGCCCCAAUGAAUCUUGACUCUUUUGUCUCAUUGUUGCAGGGCUUCUGUACAGAGUUGGAAAGGUUUUCAUCUCACUGCCAGAAGAUGCGGGUUUUCAAUCUGUUAUGCACAAAAAAAUGAACUAACCCUUCAAAAGUGAGCCACAGAAUGCAGAACUGAGCAGACUCGUGUCUCUAGAGACAACUUGAAAUAGUUAGAAAUAGAUAACUCUGUCUCUGAAAACUGCAGACUUUCUUGAUUUACCCUGCAUAAAUUUUCUCAGUAAGUGGGUAAAAUGGUGCCUAGUGGCAGAAUAAUGAAUUCACUAUGGAUCUUCAAAGUUUCAAGUGAGUGCUCUGAAAACUAGGCUAUUUUCUCUCAAUCUGAGACAAGUUUUUAAUGUAAGCAUUCAUGGGCCAAAGUAAAGCUUCUCGGUAUCAAAAACUUUAUUAGUCUUUAAAAUAUUAACUUUCAGCUCUACUCUUUUAAUAUAGUUUCCUAAGAUUUAUUGAACAGUGUUCCAAGCUGAAAAAUUUACCUGUGCAGUCCUGAAUACACCAGCUGUGUAAUUAGGUAACUGAAACUUUGUAGCACAUAGCAUUUAGGGUAACUCCCUCAUCGUUUAAGAUUAAAGAUUGAGAUCUCUCUGACAGAAGCAAUUAUUUAAACUAUCCAUCUUUAUGCUUACCUCAAAAACGUUGAGAAAAUGCUGUGUUGUUUGGGGUUUUUUGUUUGUUUUGAUCAUGUGGCAGCUUCUCAAUUCUACCUGUCUUCCACAAGAGCUUUUAAAUUUGCGUUAUUUCUGGUAAUAUACUCCAAGAAUAACAAAAUUCCUCAAGCUGUAUACUUAACUAACUCUGUGAGAGAUCUGAGAGAGUAAUUUUAAGCCAACUAACUGCUUGCUAAAUCACUGGUUACCACCUUUGUCUUUGUCAGACCAAAUUUCUUCAAGCACAUUUAAUUAUUAUUAUUUCACAAUGGUGCAGAGAAUUUGCAGGGAAGCUUAGGACAUCUUUCAGAUGAUGGGAUCCACACAUGAAAUAUAGUCCAGAAAUGGCUCCAAAGAAUUUUCAGCAUCAAUCAACAAGAUAGAUGAAGAGGAAGAGAGAAGCAGCACUACUUGCCCGCAUAUGAAGUCAAGAGAUGGAGGAGUUGGUGGUUACAUGCUGCACUGCUUGGUGGAUACGUGCCUGGCUAUAUGUUUUCAACUUGCGAAAUCUUGAUUUGGGUCAACUGUCUGAACUCCGUCCAUGUGCGUGUAAUUCAAGGAUCACAGCACAUAGAAUGCAGGGUGAAAGAAAAGUCACAUGCUUCAUCCCUUCAAAUUAACACAGGAAAACCAUCUCACUAAACUGCACAUCUUCCUAUUUCUGAGGCAAAGCAGAAGAAUAUGAGAGAACAGAAACAAUGGAAAUGGCAACAAAUGAAUAAAUUUUAUGCUGACAUAAGGCCUAGACUUCAGAAGUGUUUACUCCAUCCUUAAAUCCUUCAGCUUUCAUCCUGAUCCUCUCCCAUAUUUUACCUAGUGGAGGCCAGCUGUAUGGAGUGAAAUAGAGCAGCAACCUGCACACAGAAAUUCAUCAAGUCCUGUCACACAUCAGCUCUUUCUGCAGAAUUGUCUGGUAAUGUUUAAUUGUCAAAAAACUCUUAACUGCAAAAACAUUAACUUAAGUGCAGUUUCUUAUUCUGACACUGAACCUUGGCCAAGUGAUUAAUGCUCAUAGCCAUAGGAGGUUGUUUCUGUCACAGGAAGCUUUUAAAAACAUGACAGAUAAUAAACCAAAGAAUAUGACAGAAAAGAACCAAGAAAACAAAAUGAAAGAAGCAAACACAUAAUUUAGAAACUGUAACACUGUUCUUUAAGUUUUGGUUAAAACUUUAUUCUCUGCAUUAAAAAAUUAUAGUUCAAAAUUUGCUUGACCUUUUUUGUAGCAAAGUGUGAAGUGUUCAUGAUCCUCCUGGCUCAUGUAUAUUAUAAACUUGGCACGUGUCCUUUUGAAAGAGUGAGCUUUCCUCCAGAAAAUAUUUUCCAUUGGUUGCUGUAAAUAUAAUAUUGUUAGUCAGUCUCCUCAGACAUAAAAACCUGGUCUUAUGAUGUAUGUUGAAACUAUUAGGAUAGAAUAGGAAACCAGAUGGAUUUUUUCCUCAGAACAGUUGAAGCUGAACUGAGGUGAUUAUUAUUGCUGUUAGUCUCUUCACAACUUGCCAAUCUCCUGAAGUGGGAGAUUUUCUGUAGUGACCACAGCAGUAGAUGGACAUCACUGACUGCAGCAAAUCUAACUGACAUCAGUCACUUUAUGCAAACUCAGUUACUUUACAUAACUAUGCUAAAAAAAUUCACAACUAAUUUGCUGCAACAUUCUCUCUCCUUUGGCCACAAUGACAUGAUUUCUUUUUAAAUCUGGCACGCACGUGUCACUAUGAGACAGCAGAAAAGUGAACUCUGUCAUUGUGAUUAUCUGUUGUCUGGCUUCUUUCAUGUGCAGAAGUUUUUAUCCACAGUCUCCUGUCUGUUUUCAAAAGUCAAAGACAAAACCACAAGGAUUGUGUUAGACAUGUCUUGCUGUAAAGAAAGCCAGUGGUAUCCUGAGCUGCAUUAGGAGGAGUGUUGCCAGCUUGGUGAGGGAGAUGAUCACCACUGGUGGAUCCCUACUUGGACUGCUGGAUCCAGUUCUGGGGUCCCCAGUACAGAAAAGACAUUGACACACCUGAGAGAGUCCAGUGAAGGGCUACAAAGAUAACUGAGGAAUGAGAGCAUCUCUCCUGUGAGGAAAGUUUGGAGAUUUGGAACUGUUCAACCUAGAGAAGAGCAAAUUCAAUGGGUCCCUAAUAUAAUAUAGCUCAAUAUAUAUUAAUGCCUGAAGGAGGAUGUAAAGAGGAUGGAGCCUGGCUUUUUUCAGUGGUGACCAAUGACAGAACAAGAAGAAAUGGGCAGAAACUCAAAUAAUGGAGACGCCAUCUGAACAUCAGGAAACAUUUUUCUGUUCUGAAGAUGACUGAGCACUGGCACAUAUUGGCCAGAGAGAUUGUAAAGACUCCCUCCUUGAAGACAUUAAAAAGCCAUUUGGACAUGAUGUAACUAACUCUAGAAGACUGCUUGAGCAGAGGGUUUGGACCAGAUGACCUCCAGAGGUCCUUUCCAACCUCAGCCAUUCUGUGUUAAGGAAACGAUGAAGAAACAGAAACUGCAUUUCGCGUCUUCAGUG